UCCGAUAUGGUGUAGUGGCCAACAUGAUGCCCUCUCAUCUCGUUGAGAGGUUAGGCAUAGCCCCGAGUUCGAUUCUCGGUUUCGGAA
rnacentral:tRNA from 3 species